rnacentral:rRNA from 1 species
UGACGACGCAACGCCGCGUGGAGGAUGAAGAUCUUCGGGUCGUAAACUCCUGUCGAGUGGGAAGAAUAGCUCUGGGGCGAAUAUCCCGGAUGCCUGACGGUACCUCUCAAGGAAGCCCCGGCUAACUCCGUGCCAGCAGCCGCGGUAAUACGGGGGGGGCAAGGGUUGUUCGGAAUUACUGGGCGUAAAGGGCUCGAAGGCGGCCAACUAAGUCGGAUGUGAAAUCCCCAGGCUCAACCUGGGAACUGCGUCUGAUACUGGAUGGCUUGAAUUCGGGAGAGGGAUGCAAAAUUCCCGGUGUAGCGGUGAAAUGCGUAAAUAUCUGGAGGAAUACCGGUGGCCAAGGCGGCAUCCUGGACCGACAUUGACGCUUAGGAGCGAAAUCUAGGGGAGCAAACCGGAUUAGAUACCCCGGUAGUCCUAGCCCUAAACUAUGAACGCUUGGUGUGACGGGUAUCGAUCCCUGUUGUGCCCAACCUAACGCAUUAAGCAUUCCGCCUGGGGAGUACUGUCGCAAGGUU